GGGUACAUGGUCUAGUGGUAUGAUUUUCGCUUCGCAUUGACGUAGAUGCGCUACUGUGAAAGGUCCCCGGUUCGAUCCCGGGUGUAUCCA